GACAGCGGCAACAGCAGCAACAAGAACAAUGGGGCGUGUUACUACAACAAGAAAAUUGCGGUUCCAACAACAGCAGCAUCUCCAGUAGCAGUAGCAUCAUCAGGAGCAACAACAACAGCAACGACGACGACGUCGGCAGCUACAGCAGCAACGCCGGCAAAAAGUCAUCAAAAGGCUACUAAAGGUUGACGCAGGCAAUGGCCAGUGAGUGUCCCCAUCGCCUUCCAUGCCUCAGCCACCAUCGCAUCGGCAUCAACGGCAUCCCACCACCGUCAGUAGGUAUUCCCUUCCCAGCUGCACACUGAAAAAAAAGCUCAGGACAACACUCAAGACCACAUCUGUUUGAUAUGUUUUAAGGGAAUUCUGUUGCCGUUGUCCUACGAUAAUUCGACAUGAGGGAGAGGCGUUUGACAUUCUGGUACCAUUUUCCGGCAACAGCAUCGUCGUAUUUGGGUCUCGAUCUUGAUAACUCCCUCAAGCAUUUGAACUACGUUUCGAACUUACC
ensembl:ncRNA lncRNA:CR45579 long non-coding RNA:CR45579